UUGCACAUCUUUUCAUAAUUAGCCAAAAAGUCAUCCCAAACAUACAAGUUUUUUUACCUACCUUUUUAGCCAAAUAGCCAAAAAGUUACUAAAUUAGCCUGUUCCCAAACGAGGCCUUGCAAACCCCAAGGGGUUGGCCUGGUGGCAAGGCCUUGGAUCUUGGGAGUUUGCUCCUUCCAAGGUUUAGGGAUCGAAAUCUCUUAAGUGCUAACAAUUCCUUGGGGCCAUCAGAUUGGUGGAAAAUCUUUGAAUUAACUGUGGUGCACUUGCGAAAAACUCCUUGCCGAGGGCUUGUGCGCCGCUGGGGAUUGGUCGGGUUUUGAUCCGGACACUCCAAUGAUAAUAAAAAAAAAAAAAAAAUUGGCCUUCUUGCAACUUAAUCACAGUAUGAUUCCUUGCAUUGUAUUACUCCAGCCAUUGCAUAGGUCAUCAUAAGUAUUACCAAUACGAGUUGAGCUAGGCUUGUGAGCUUAUGAAAGUGUCACAAACCAAGCCUGAAUAUGCAUUGCUGUGCUCAUCGUGAACACAAUCUGAGGCCGAACAUACAUUAAACUGACUUAGCCAAGCUCAAACACCUUAGUGCUUGGCUCGGCUUGGCUCAUUUGCAGCAUUAAUCCUCUGACACAUCAUGCAGUUUUCUCUUCAUUGGGUUCAAGUUUGAUGCCCAAAGCUUAUCUUGACUCCAUUAUUUCUGCCCUUGAAAUCCUUUGGAUAAAAUAAACUUAAAAGGGAACAAAUGACAAAAUCCACAUUAUGUCAAAUUUGUAUAUUAUUUGCAUUUUUGUUCCACUAUUAUGUGUUUCUUUGUAAACAAUGCACAUCUUAUUCCUUCAAUGCGUAAAUACAUGAUAUGGUGUAUCUUCUACUAUGUCAGAAACUUAGAAACCCUAAACUAUCCAUAUUGCUGCACAUGCCUUAGUACUAUGGAUACUUUUUUUUUUUGAGCUAUGUUUGUGAGAGAGGAUUUUUGGAGGUUGUUUGAGGACUGUUCCUGCGUGACAUCCACAAUGGUGGAAUGGCCUUGCUCCUAUUGUCUACUUUUCCAUUUGCUAAGUGACACCCACAAUGGUGGAAUGGGCCAUAAGAACACCUUUCAACUGAGAAGUACAGGAGAAGGCCACCACCCAUAAAGGCUUAUAAGUGAAACGUAGAGAAUCAGAGAAUGAUGUGUAUUUUUUACCGUUCAAAUAAAUUCUGUUAGAAGUAAGCAUAAAUGAUGAUUUUAGGUAAUUUUUUUUGGUAAUACAACUUCCCAUCAAAAUGUAUUCAUUUCAUUCCCAGAUCUAGCUGUAAACUGGACGUGUUGUUAACAUUUUUUAAUGGCUGUUUGAAAGAUCUAAAGAUUUAGGUUGGUGAAAGAAUAUUAAUUUAUGAAUGCAGUUAGACAACUGCCUGGUAUUAACAUCAAGGAUGUGUUUAAUAUCCCACCCCCCUCUUCUAAAAUGUCAGGAUUGACCACUGUCUUUUAAUGUUCAACAGGGGGAUGAAGUUGGAAUUCAGGCUUCAGCUUACUUUUGUGGAGUUGUAUUUGUUACUUAAUUUUCUCUGUUAGUAGAGUUCACUUUCAGUUAUGUUUGUGAUUUGAUUUGAUUGAUUGUACUGUUGAUCCUGCAGCAAUAGCCAGCAUAUUAUUUUUAAGGGAGACACGUGUGCUGUUUGAGAGACCUUCAUUUGGCAGUUGCUUUACAGCCUUGUUCAGUGGUGCAAUAGUUGUGUUCUAUCUUUAUAGGAUCACACUGAGUGGUGGACAGACAAAUGCAACAGACUACCGCGGGACUGAAUAAUAAGGCUCUUAUGUAUCACAACUUUUACAAAAUGUAAUUUUCCAUGUUAUAAAUGAGGGAAUGGAUUAUGCCUCUGUCUAGCAAGCACAACCAUCCUGGUGGAAGAAGGCACGGCAAUCUCUCCUAUGUUCCAGGUAGUAGAUGUAUUGGUCUAGACUUUGAGAUUCAUACUUCCGAAGCAAAACUUGCCUGGCAAUAUUGGAGAGUGGAUAAUGAGAUUGUAUUUUCAGUUUGUUUGUUUUUUAGUCAGUUAUGAAAUAAUUCUGCCACAACCUUCAAUGUGGGAAAUUCAACUGUUUUUACAUGCUUGUAAAAUGUCAAUGCUUUAGGAUUCCCUUGGUUUAUUGGAUGUAAAUUUGUCCAGAUUUGAACUGAAGUGACGCAUCUAGCUGUGUGGGUUGCAAGGUAUUCGAUCAGAUCAGAUUUAAGACCAUCCUUCUUCUUCCUGUUCAAACUUUUGCAGACUAAUCAAAUUUGAUCGACUGGAGAAGUCGUUAUUGUUGA